AAUGGCCAUGGCCCAGAUUGGCUAUGUGGCCUGAGCAGGUGGCCCUGGGCCAGCUCUGGCACAGCACACUCUGUCCCUCUUUGCCUAGUCCAAAGAAUAGCUCAAUCUGCUCCCAGGCAGGGGGUGAGAGUGGGUGCAGAGCCUAUGCUCAACAAACCAAGACAAGUGGGGGUGGAUUCUGCAGUGGCCAGUUAGGCUGGGCACACGGUGGACCCUAUCAGGCAGGCCCAGUUCCCAUGGGUAGAAACAAGAAACGGGGAGCUCAGCCCAAUGGCAUCCCGGCACGGACUUCACAUUCCCCGGUGGCCCUCAAGACCGUCCAGGACCCUGGCAUAUGAACACUGGGUCGGCUGAGCCAGGACCUCCUCAGAGACUGGGAAGGCUAGAAGGCUGUCAGAGUUGACUGACUAUGGAAGGCUCGGCUCUCAUCGCAUCCCAACUAGACCCACAAUGUCCCUGCUCACUCAGCCCCAACACAAUAAAUGCCUGUGACAGAG
rnacentral:lncRNA from 1 species